rnacentral:rRNA from 1 species
CUGUGAGCUCGAUGAGUAGGGCGGGACACGUGGUAUCCUGUCUGAAUAUGGGGGGACCAUCCUCCAAGGCUAAAUACUCCUGACUGACCGAUAGUGAACCAGUACCGUGAGGGAAAGGCGAAAAGAACCCCGGCGAGGGGAGUGAAAAAGAACCUGAAACCGUGUACGUACAAGCAGUGGGAGCACAGAGCAAUCUGUGUGACUGCGUACCUUUUGUAUAAUGGGUCAGCGACUUAUAUUCUGUAGCAAGGUUAACCGAAUAGGGGAGCCGAAGGGAAACCGAGUCUUAACUGGGCGUUAAGUUGCAGGGUAUAGACCCGAAACCCGGUGAUCUAGCCAUGGGCAGGUUGAAGGUUGGGUAACACUAACUGGAGGACCGAACCGACUAAUGUUGAAAAAUUAGCGGAUGACUUGUGGCUGGGGGUGAAAGGCCAAUCAAACCGGGAGAUAGCUGGUUCUCCCCGAAAGCUAUUUAGGUAGCGCCUCGUGAAUUCAUCUCCGGGGGUAGAGCACUGUUUCGGCAAGGGGGUCAUCCCGACUUACCAACCCGAUGCAAACUGCGAAUACCGGAGAAUGUUAUCACGGGAGACACACGGCGGGUGCUAACGUCCGUCGUGAAGAGGGAAACAACCCAGACCGCCAGCUAAGGUCCCAAAGUCAUGGUUAAGUGGGAAACGAUGUGGGAAGGCCCAGACAGCCAGGAUGUUGGCUUAGAAGCAGCCAUCAUUUAAAGAAAGCGUAAUAGCUCACUGGUCGAGUCGGCCUGCGCGGAAGAUGUAACGGGGCUAAACCAUGCACCGAAGCUGCGGCAGCGACGCUGAUGCGUUGUUGGGUAGGGGAGCGUUCUGUAAGCCUGUGAAGGUGUACUGUGAGGUAUGCUGGAGGUAUCAGAAGUGCGAAUGCUGACAUAAGUAACGAUAAAGCGGGUGAAAAGCCCGCUCGCCGGAAGACCAAGGGUUCCUGUCCAACGUUAAUCGGGGCAGGGUGAGUCGACCCCUAAGGCGAGGCCGAAAGGCGUAGUCGAUGGGAAACAGGUUAAUAUUCCUGUACUUGGUGUUACUGCGAAGGGGGGACGGAGAAGGCUAUGUUGGCCGGGCGACGGUUGUCCCGGUUUAAGCGUGUAGGCUGGUUUUCCAGGCAAAUCCGGAAAAUCAAGGCUGAGGCGUGAUGACGAGGCACUACGGUGCUGAAGCAACAAAUGCCCUGCUUCCAGGAAAAGCCUCUAAGCAUCAGGUAACAUCAAAUCGUACCCCAAACCGACACAGGUGGUCAGGUAGAGAAUACCAAGGCGCUUGAGAGAACUCGGGUGAAGGAACUAGGCAAAAUGGUGCCGUAACUUCGGGAGAAGGCACGCUGAUAUGUAGGUGAAGUCCCUCGCGGAUGGAGCUGAAAUCAGUCGAAGAUACCAGCUGGCUGCAACUGUUUAUUAAAAACACAGCACUGUGCAAACACGAAAGUGGACGUAUACGGUGUGACGCCUGCCCGGUGCCGGAAGGUUAAUUGAUGGGGUCAGCGCAAGCGAAGCUCUUGAUCGAAGCCCCGGUAAACGGCGGCCGUAACUAUAACGGUCCUAAGGUAGCGAAAUUCCUUGUCGGGUAAGUUCCGACCUGCACGAAUGGCGUAAUGAUGGCCAGGCUGUCUCCACCCGAGACUCAGUGAAAUUGAACUCGCUGUGAAGAUGCAGUGUACCCGCGGCAAGACGGAAAGACCCCGUGAACCUUUACUAUAGCUUGACACUGAACAUUGAGCCUUGAUGUGUAGGAUAGGUGGGAGGCUUGGAAGUGUGGACGCCAGUCUGCAUGGAGCCGACCUUGAAAUACCACCCUUUAAUGUUUGAUGUUCUAACGUUGACCCGUAAUCCGGGUUGCGGACAGUGUCUGGUGGGUAGUUUGACUGGGGCGGUCUCCUCCUAAAGAGUAACGGAGGAGCACGAAGGUUGGCUAAUCCUGGUCGGACAUCAGGAGGUUAGUGCAAUGGCAUAAGCCAGCUUGACUGCGAGCGUGACGGCGCGAGCAGGUGCGAAAGCAGGUCAUAGUGAUCCGGUGGUUCUGAAUGGAAGGGCCAUCGCUCAACGGAUAAAAGGUACUCCGGGGAUAACAGGCUGAUACCGCCCAAGAGUUCAUAUCGACGGCGGUGUUUGGCACCUCGAUGUCGGCUCAUCACAUCCUGGGGCUGAAGUAGGUCCCAAGGGUAUGGCUGUUCGCCAUUUAAAGUGGUACGCGAGCUGGGUUUAGAACGUCGUGAGACAGUUCGGUCCCUAUCUGCCGUGGGCGCUGGAGAACUGAGGGGGGCUGCUCCUAGUACGAGAGGACCGGAGUGGACGCAUCACUGGUGUUCGGGUUGUCAUGCCAAUGGCACUGCCCGGUAGCUAAAUGCGGAAGAGAUAAGUGCUGAAAGCAUCUAAGCACGAAACUUGCCCCGAGAUGAGUUCUCCCUGACUCCUUGAGAGUCCUGAAGGAACGUUGAAGACGACGACGUUGAUAGGCCGGGUGUGUAAGCGCAGCGAUGCGUUGAGCUAACCGGUACUAAUGAACCGUGAGGCUUAACCUU